GAGUUUGAUCUUGGCUCAGAUUGAACGCUGGCGGCAUGCCUUACACAUGCAAGUCGAACGGCAGCACGGGAGCUUGCUCCUGGUGGCGAGUGGCGAACGGGUGAGUAAUGCAUCGGAACGUAUCCUGGAGUGGGGGAUAACGUAGCGAAAGUUACGCUAAUACCGCAUAUUCUGUGAGCAGGAAAGCGGGGGACCUUCGGGCCUCGCGCUCUUGGAGCGGCCGAUGUCGGAUUAGCUAGUUGGUGAGGUAAAGGCUCACCAAGGCGACGAUCCGUAGCAGGUCUGAGAGGAUGAUCUGGCCACACUGGAACUGAGACACGGUCCAGACUCCUACGGGAGGCAGCAGUGGGGAAUUUUGGACAAUGGGGGCAACCCUGAUCCAGCCAUGCCGCGUGAGUGAAGAAGGCCUCGG
rnacentral:rRNA from 1 species